UAAUUUUUCUUACAUGGUCAGUACUGAGAGAUCUUUUUUAAACAACUAAAUUUGUUUUAUCAUCAUGUUAAUUAAAUGAUCAAUAUCCAGUGACUCUUCAACUAUUGAUUAGGGAAUCAGAGAUGAUCCUAUGAGACGCAAAAUUUAUCCACUUAGACGAGAGACUGUAUAAAAAGUAGAGGUAAAAGAUUUACAAAUGUGAACAGAAGAGUGUUAUAUUUGGUUCAGUCAUGUUGAUUCGUUUUUCACGUUUGAACACGAUGAGGAUGGUGAAGAUGAUGAUGAAGGAGGAAGGAAAGAUGACAAUAGGAAAUAUAUUUUUUUUGUAUAUAAAAGGAAACAUUGAAAAGCUCAAGUAAAAAAACAAGGUUCAUCAAUAAGAAUCUUCAUUGACCGUCUCAAUGGACAGUGUAUAACAAAGCCAAAUAUAAAAUUGAAUCCAUGUUGAGGUAUAUUCUCAGGUGACUGCUUCUGAUUCUUUUCUUACUCUCAUUUUCACCUUUAUACUCUCAAUUUAUUUAUAUAACUAUCUAUAGCAAUCUGUACCACAUUCAUUUUUUUCACUUCAUUUUCAACCCAUUUUGUUUUCUUUUUUUUCCCUUGUCUUCAACUUAUGUUUCCCUCCAUUUAAUCUAUCCUCAACCUUUACUGUUACCUUGUUUAACUUUAUAACCACCAUAGGGAUCUUUAAAUGCUCUCAAUUCAAUCUGAAUCUGUUCUUUUGGGCUCAUUUCUUUGUUUGCUUUAUCACCAUCUCCUUUGAAGUAAGCAAAAUAUUACAUAUCGCCAAUUGAUCAACUGGAAAGAUAACCAUAACCUGGUCAAAAUCACCGCAGUGACAGUUGAUCAAAUAAAUGGACAGGUUAUCAGGUAGGAUCAUUCCUUCACCAAUCAUUCCAGUUGAAAAUCAGCCGAUGAAAUAAAACCUGGAUCUUAAUGUAGAGACUUUUCGGGGACCCAAAUAGCAAUCCAAUGAAGCAAUGCAAAAAGUUUUGGUCAUUUUCUUAAUCUUAUCCACCUGGCUCUCACAAGUUUGAUCGGGAUGGUUGAAAUGAUGUCGCUUAGCCUUAACAAAUGUGAUUACUGCGUUUGUCGAUAGCAUUGAUUAUGUUUCUUAUUGAGAGGCAGAAAGAGUCUCAGCUGAAGAAACAACUAUUGGCUUCUGAUAAAUCACCGAAAUGGACGAGAUCGAAUAAACAAUGAAAAAAUUGUCAAAUUUUUACACAUUUUUUCAAUGAUUAGUUUUGGUAUUGCAUUUGUCUACAAUCAUCUUUCCAGGUCAAAUUGUAAACACCAUGACCUACUUAUGCGAAGAAACCUUAACCAAAGUCAAAUAUCCUGAAAAGACUUGAAAAUAGCUGAAAAUUUGUCACAGAAUAAGGAAGAUGAAAGGAAGAUAAAGAAAGACGAAAGUAACAAUCAAUGGACAUUUGAAGGUGGACAAAACGAUAAAGUAAAACUAAUCAGUUAAUUGGCUUUUACAGUUAAAUCGUUUCUUUUUUUGUAAAUUCAUGGAUUUGGAUUUGGAAGUAAAUUUGUUGAAAUUGAUAAUUCUGGUUCCUUGAAAUGCAGUCUGAAAAUACAUUACCUGUGGCUUAUAAUGACAAAUUUAUCUGAAAUUGAGAGUAAACUUGAACUGAACUCAAUGAGCCAAGGAUGAUAAUAUGGAUGAAGGAUGGUGAAAAGUGGAAAGCAAAGAAAGAUGAUAAAGGUUGAAAUGAAAAGAGGAGGAAAAAAAGGACCAAGUGACAAGUAAAAAAAAGACAAGGAAAAAACACGGAAACAAAAUACAAUCAAAAAAAGAUUUUGUGUGUCACUGAAAUUAGUUGGGUGAUGAUGAUGAUAAGAAUGAGGAAAAAGUAAAGAAGAAAGGCCGAAAGAUACAAAGCAAGGAUCAUCUAAAAAAGAGCAUCUUCCAAAAUUGAACAUCAUAUUAGGACCAACAAAAGGCUGGAUAACAAGUUUAACAACACUUUUUUUUCGAGGUUGAAGCAUAAGGAUAAACUUUCCUCUUCUUUUGGCUUGGCUUAUAAUAGAGGAAAGACGAGAUGAUGCAGGGCUGAGGAUGCAAAUCGAGCAGAUGGGGCAAAAGAUGAGGACGAUUUUGAUGAUGAUGAUGAUGAUUAUGAUGAUGGUGAUAAAGUUUACAAGAGACGAAAGGCUCGAUUCAAAUAGAGGGAGGAGAUGGAGGAGGAUGGGGAGGAGAAGAACAAGAAUAAAAGUGAAAAAAGAAAGGAAAAAUUAGUGUUCAGUUACAAUAGCCAUUUGAUUGUACAAAGUUGAUCACUUUGAUUAUGAUGAAGAUGAUGUCCAAAUGUUAUUUUAGUUGAGGGUGAAAUUACUAUUUGAAUGGUGAAAGGGAAAAAGUAAUAAUAUAAAACAAUGAAUUGUAAAAUUAGGUUGGCAGAGUAACAAUGAAAAUGAUAUUGGAUUGAUAAAUUG